UGGGGUAUCGUCUAGCGGCAGGACUACUGGUUUUGGUCCAGUCAACCGAGGUUCGAAUCCUUGUACCCCAACCA
rnacentral:tRNA from 1 species